UACGUAGGGUGCAAGCGUUGUCCGGAAUUAUUGGGCGUAAAGAGCUCGUAGGCGGUUUGUCGCGUCGAAUGUGAAAACCCGGGGCUCAACUCCGGGCCGCAUUCGAUACGGGCAGACUAGAGUUCGGUAGGGGAGACUGGAAUUCCUGGUGUAGCGGUGGAAUGCGCAGAUAUCAGGAGGAACACCGGUGGCGAAGGCGGUUCUCUGGGCAUGAUCUGACGCUGAGGAGCGAAAGUGUGGGGAGCGAACAGG
rnacentral:rRNA from 1 species